CAUCAGAUCACAUCCACUCACUCAUACUAACUUAAAAAAAAAUUCAAUUAAUGGUUCUCACUCACAAAAACGAGAACAUUGAGGUCUCUGCUUCACCACAAUCAUCACCUUCGUCUCUUCCAAGCGCUUCACCGUCGAUGCCACCUUCAUCUCCAUCUCUUCUUCAAGAUCAUUGGGUUCUCUGCCAAGCACGUCAAUGUCCAUCUCAAGAUCGCCGACUCCUACUUCCAGCUAUUGAAGGUCUUACACUACAAUUUGUUAGUGUUGUUCUCAAAGGUUCUAGCCAACAUCAGGGCACAAAUUUUUUUGGGGUUUUUACAUAACAGUGACGAUCGCCAGAAUCCAGCUAAAGCCACGCUUGUUCACCCUAGAAAGACCAUCCAGUUAAGGUGAGAGGAGGAAACAUUGCUUCAGUAAUUGAGGGAGAUGAUUUGUAGGGUUCUAUUUUUGGUGGUCAUUUUCUAGACUGUGGAGAUGUUGUUAUGCCUGGAUUAGUAGAUGUGUAAGAAAUAUUCAGACUUCUUUUUAUAUAGUUAUAUAAAACUAAUUUAUUGUGCUUGUAUAAUUCUUUGAAACUUUUGAUUGUUUUUCUUUCAUAUAUUUGAACUUGUUGUUGUUCUUAUAAAAACUAAAGAGAAUGAACUAGUAGAAAUGACAU